AUUCAUUAGGAUCGAUAUUGGUAAGUACAUGUUUUUGUAACAUUGUAUAAAAAUUACAUUUUAUUUAGCACUUUUCUCUUCUCACAGAACUCGAUAUUGGUAAGUACAUGUUUUUAUAACAUUGUAUAAAAAUUACAUUUUAUUUAGCACUUUUCUCUUCUCACAGAACUCAUGGUGCUUAUAUUUUUUUUUUUUAAAUUCACAAAGUAUUUAUUUUUCAGAUUAAAAAGCAUUAAUUUUAAUUGAAUAUUCAAUCUCAAAAGAGAAUUAUACAUAAUGGAGUAAAUUUCAAAGAAAUGCCUCAUUCUACGACAGGAAACCUGGUAAAUGAAUUUGACAGUUCAUUGUCACAAGCCAGAAAGAAUUUGUUUGACUACAUGAUGUGCUUUUGAAGGUGUGUGGAGGACCCUUAAUCUGUACAUCUUAAUGAUCAUACUCCAUCAGAUGACAAACUGAAUCUUCAUUAAGUAAAACCUGGAAGGAAGAAUACCAUAUACCUUGAAAUACAUCAUAACAGAUUGUAAAAUUGUAGAAACUGCUUGCCAAUAUAUAUUACAAAUAUUUUAUCAAAUGACGGAAUAACACUAUGCAGUCAAACUUCGUUAUCUCAAACUAAAUGGGACUGUUUGAAAACCUUGAGAUAUCCGAGUAUUCGAGAUAUCAAGGGUAAAAUACUUAGAAAUAAGUGAUUGGGACUUACAAAUUACUUGACAUAUCCAUUGUAUUUGAGAUAUCAGUGUUUGAGAUAUCAAACAUAAAUAAAUUUGUCUUCAU
rnacentral:sRNA from 1 species